GAGAGAGAGAGAGAGAGCGAGAGAGAGAGAGAGAGAGAGUGUGUGUGUGUGUGACAUACACACGCGUGAGCAUUCUCUAGCAUCUGAUAGCUUGGAGUUUUCCAUGGUCUCUAUCAUGAUGGUCUCCUUUUCUUCUGACAUAUGCAGUAGCAGUAGAAUCCCAGUGAGUGUCACUAUACUAAUAUCUUAUCUCUUAGAAGCAUCCCACAAGGUGGUAUCCCAUGCCUUCCUGGUUUUAAAAAACAAAACACUCAGCACUGAAUGUCCUGUAGUUUGUUCUCGCCAUGUUGUUUGAUUCUUCACCAUGUGCCAAUUGCUCCCUUGCACAGGCCUCUGCAUCAAUAAGACUGAGACAAAAGCACAGAAAGCAUAAGCCAUAUAUGUUUAUAGAAUAGGGGCCUAGAGUGGUCAGAUCUGCCUGUGCUGCGGGCCUUUGCUUUGGGGGCUUUUCUGUGUCUCUGAUGCAGUUGAAAUCCUCAAUGGCAGUGUUUUUCAAAUUAUAGAUCUUAACCAGUGGGUCAUGAGGUCAGUUUAAUACCUAAAGACAACCAUAUCUCAAAAUUGGAAUGUAAAGAAGUACAUGAACAAGAGAACACUUAAGAACAAAUACUCUUUGUUUAUAAUUUAAAGUGGAAUAUACCACUUUGUAGUGUUAGAUUUCUUUUAAAAAAAAAAAAAGAAUAAAAAGAAUAAAUAGCCCGAAAGACUAGGGAGGGCAUCGUGGGCCACCUGGUAACUGUUGGAGUUGUGCUCUCCAUCCUGGGAAUAGGAUGGCUUGAGUUGGUGAGGAAGAGCAGAUUUGGAGCAAGCAGUAAUCUUUAGGGUGGAAAGUCAAGAGAACUCUUAUUCUAGUAUAUGAAGUGUUUUUACCUCCUUUUCCUCAUAGAUCAGUAGGAUCAGAUAAGGCAUAGAAAAUGAAUUCUGCAGAUGACCCCUAAAAAGUCCACAGGCUGUGGUAGAGCCCCCUCGCUAUAGGUCAUCUUACUCCCAUUUGCCUUCUGUCUGACUCAUCAUGCAGGUAGCAAAAAAAUCUUGAAAAUGGGUAGCUAGCUAUGUAGGAGACAUUAUUGUAGAACGAGAGCACUCACUUGCUGAGGGUGCCAUAUACAUAUCAGUACCCUUUAACUAGAUAGACUGCAUGUCCUCGUUUUCAUAAGACCCAGAUAGAAAAGGAAAAGACUUGCAUUUCUUACACCAGAUUGAAUAUAAACUCAUCAGUCUGGUUUCCUUUGGUGCUCCAUAGAAUCAUGUAUCACUCCUCCCUCUAGAAAGGAGCCCUUCACACGCUGCGUGAGCAUUUAAGUUUAUACUUCAUUGUUAAUGCUAACCAGCUGAGUUUACGUUAGUUGGAUAAACUGUGUUCUUUAUGAUCUGUUCAAUGUAGCAUGGAGAUGUGAGCACUAUACCCACUAGCAUGGCUUCCCCACUGACCCAGGAGGUGCUGCCUUCAAAAUUUGAAGGGGCUGCAUCUUACUCAGAAACCCCAUGGAUGCUUGUUCAAUUGGAACCUCUUCUACUUUAUUGCCUUUCUUGUAAAAUAACUUACCUCAUGUCAUUUAAAGUAUUUUUAUGUUAACAUUUUGGGCUCUUGAUUUUUUUUUUCUUUUUUAAGCAUUAUAGCAUUCUUUAAAUAAGGAAAAUUCAGGUUACCCAAAGCUUGACACAUAGGAAAUCUAACUUUAGAUUUUAUAGGUCAAUAAGAGUAUUUUUUCAAAAUUGAGUUAGUUAUACAAAUAUAAAUUUAAGUUGUAGUUUAACACUGACUGUGAUAUAUAUCAAGUUGCCUUGACUUAGAACCUCUGUCACUGAACAUAUUUGUGUGAUUAUCAGUGUUUCCUUCUAGUAAAACUUUGUGACAAAGCUGUUAAAGUAAAAAUGUCUGUUGGUUAGAAGGGUUGCCUAAAGCAGAGCAUGAUGCAGGCCUCAGUGUUUCUUGUGAUGUCCUCAUACCGCUGUUGAUUAAUUGACUACCCAAAAAUCGCCAGUAUUUGGGCAGAAAAACAUUUCAAAACCAAUAUUAAUAUCAUUUAUAAUAGAAUGUUCUAAAUGUCAAUGCUAGUACACUUAUGCCCACCAGUAAUUAUAGAUUAUAUUUGGGACUUAUUAGAACACUGUAUAUAAAGUUUUUUUUUACAUGGCCACCUCUGUAUACAAGUGUAUUAUAGUUAAGAAAAUUGCCAGGGAAGAUAUACUUUAAAAAUACUUCAUAGGUUUGAAAUUGUAUAGUUCCAUUUUUAUGAAGUGUCCAGACUAGUGUCUUAAUUAUUUUCAUACUGACUAAGUAGCCUGGACGUCUUUGGUAUGUUUAUUAUUUGGUGCAAACAUGACCAGUGGUUAUUAUGGUUC
rnacentral:lncRNA from 1 species